AGAAAUGUCUAAGCCGAUAGAUGAGCCUGCGUAAGAUUAAGUAGUAGGUGUGGAAAUGGGGCACCUAGGCAUCGAUCUAUAGCCGAGUUGAGAGGCUAAUCGGCCACAUUGGAACUGAGACACGGUCCAGACUCCCUACGGGAGGCAGCAGCUAAGAAUCUUCCGCAAUGGUUGAGAGACUGACGGAGCGACGCCGCGUGAAUGAUGAAGGCCUUUUAGGUUGUAAAAUUCUUUUAUACUAGAUGAAAGUAUAGAUAUAGUUUAUGCUGACCGUAUAUUAUGAAUAAGGUCCGGCUAAACUACGUGCCAGCAGCCGCGGUAAAACGUAGGGACCUAGCGUUGUUCGGAAUUACUGGGCGUAAAGGGUAUGCAGGCUGUUAUAUAAGUCAGAUGUGAAAGACCCGGGCUCAACCUUGGAAUUGCGUCUGAUACUGUAUAACUUGGGUAGCUGAGAGGAAGUCGGAAUUCCUGGUGUAUGGGUGAAAUCUAUAGAUAUCCAGGAAGAACACCAGUAGCGUAGGCGGACUUCUGGCAGCUUACCGACGCUGAGGUACGAAAGGUAGGGUAGCAAACAGGAUUAGAGACCCUGGUAAGUCCUACCUGUAAACGUUG
rnacentral:rRNA from 1 species